rnacentral:rRNA from 1 species
UCAGGACGAACGCUGGCGGCGUGCUUAACACAUGCAAGUCGAACGCUGAAGCACCAGCUUGCUGGUGUGGAUGAGUGGCGAACGGGUGAGUAAUACGUGAGUAACCUGCCCUUGACUCUGGGAUAAGCCCGGGAAACUGGGUCUAAUACUGGAUGCUACAUGUCACCGCAUGGUGGUGUGUGGAAAGGGUUUACUGGUCUUGGAUGGGCUCACGGCCUAUCAGCUUGUUGGUGAGGUAAUGGCUCACCAAGGCGACGACGGGUAGCCGGCCUGAGAGGGUGACCGGCCACACUGGGACUGAGACACGGCCCAGACUCCUACGGGAGGCAGCAGUGGGGAAUAUUGCACAAUGGGCGAAAGCCUGAUGCAGCGACGCCGCGUGAGGGAUGACGGCCUUCGGGUUGUAAACCU